AUAAUACUCCCUCCGUCCGGAAUUACUUGUCAUCAAAAUGGAUGUGUCUAGAACUAAAAUACAUCUACUUACAUCCAUUUCAAUGACAAGUAUUUUCGGACGGAGGGAGUAGUAG
rfam:Triticum aestivum genome assembly, contig: Triticum_aestivum_CS42_TGACv1_scaffold_642845_T_4BL-0.121075_4BS-0.061327